GGCUUUAUAGUUCAAUUGAUAGAACACAACACUGAUAAGGUUGAAAUAUUGGUUUGAAUCCGAUUAAAGCCA
rnacentral:tRNA from 1 species